rnacentral:rRNA from 1 species
GAACGGGUGAGUAACACGUGGGAAACCUACCUCUUAGCAGGGGAUAACAUUUGGAAACAGAUGCUAAUACCGUAUAACAAUGACAACCGCAUGGUUGUUAUUUAAAAGAUGGUUCUGCUAUCACUAAGAGAUGGUCCCGCGGUGCAUUAGCUAGUUGGUAAGGUAAUGGCUUACCAAGGCGAUGAUGCAUAGCCGAGUUGAGAGACUGAUCGGCCACAAUGGGACUGAGACACGGCCCAUACUCCUACGGGAGGCAGCAGUAGGGAAUCUUCCACAAUGGGCGAAAGCCUGAUGGAGCAACGCCGCGUGUGUGAUGAAGGGUUUCGGCUCGUAAAACACUGUUGUAAGAGAAGAAUGACAUUGAGAGUAACUGUUCAAUGUGUGACGGUAUCUUACCAGAAAGGAACGGCUAAAUACGUGCCAGCAGCCGCGGUAAUACGUAUGUUCCAAGCGUUAUCCGGAUUUAUUGGGCGUAAAGCGAGCGCAGACGGUUAUUUAAGUCUGAAGUGAAAGCCCUCAGCUCAACUGAGGAAUUGCUUUGGAAACUGGAUGACUUGAGUGCAGUAGAGGAAAGUGGAACUCCAUGUGUAGCGGUGAAAUGCGUAGAUAUAUGGAAGAACACCAGUGGCGAAGGCGGCUUUCUGGACUGUAACUGACGUUGAGGCUCGAAAGUGUGGGUAGCAAACAGGAUUAGAUACCCUGGUAGUCCACACCGUAAACGAUGAGUGCUAGGUGUUUGAGGGUUUCCGCCCUUAAGUGCCGCAG